AUAAUGGACCUGUUUGGUUUGGGCCCAUACGGGAUGCACAUGAUCCAACAAAUCAGGAAGACGCUCGGGAGCAGGUGUGGAAAAUAAUGAUUGGAAGAUAACAACAGUGUGAAAGUCUAGUACUUACUCACCAAGGAGUUGCCUGUGGGACAGCGCUAAAGAGGCAUUUGUGCUUUAUGGAAAUAAAGGACCCCUCCUUUCUUCUAUCGUGAAACCCCCCAGUCACAGACAGCAUCAGACAGAUGAGGAGGCCAAGUGUCUACUGGAGACCACCGCUUAGCCACUCCACUUCACGCUAAGAAAGGAAAGACCCUGCCCUCUCCUGAACCCUCCUGACCUUCUCUGGCCCUGCACACACUGGCGUGAUCAUUCUCAGACCAGACCAGAGCACUGUGUGGACAGAACCAUGGCCUAGUCUUUGGCCUUAAAUCUCUCUGAAGCAGAAGGAGAGUUGUGUUAUGGUGGCUUUGGGUCAGCGCCAGUUCACAUAUAUGUCUGAAGCUUUGAUUAGUGACGGCCACUCAGCCGGCUGAGAAGGGUUUCUCUGAAUAAUUCCUCACAUCAAAGCUCUUCGGCUAUUCCCAGUUAUAGGGUUGGAAGUUAGGUUUGACCAUAGAGUGCCAUUUUCUUGUCAGCUACAUGUCCUUUCAGACUCAUAGUGUU